AACGAACGCUGGCGGCGCGCCUAAUACAUGCAAGUCGAGCGAGAAGGUGUAGCAAUACACUUGUAAAGCGGCGAACGGGUGAGGAAUACAUGGGUAACCUACCCUCGAGUGGGGAAUAACUAGCCGAAAGGUUAGCUAAUACCGCGUACGCUUCCGGGACUGCGGUUCCGGAAGGAAAGCGAUACUGUGAGUAUCGCGCUCUUGGAUGGGCUCAUGUCCUAUCAGCUUGUUGGUGAGGUAACGGCUCACCAAGGCUUCGACGGGUAGCUGGUCUGAGAGGACGAUCAGCCACACUGGCACUGCGACACGGGCCAGACUCCUACGGGAGGCAGCAGUAAGGAAUAUUGCGCAAUGGACGACAGUCUGACGCAGCGACGCCGCGUGGGGGACGAAGGUCUUCGGAUUGUAAACCCCUUUCGGGAGGG
rnacentral:rRNA from 1 species